rnacentral:rRNA from 1 species
GAUGAACGCUAGCUACAGGCUUAACACAUGCAAGUCGAGGGGUAACGAGAGGAAAGCUUGCUUUCCUUGUCGACGACCGGCGCACGGGUGAGUAACGCGUAUCCAACCUGCCCCCAACUAGGGAAUAACCUUGCGAAAGUAAGACUAAUACCCUAUAAUCUCCUCAGAUGUCAUCUGACGAGGAAUAAAGAUUUAUCGGUUGUGGAUGGGGAUGCGUCUGAUUAGCUUGUUGGCGGGGUAACGGCCCACCAAGACAACGAUCAGUAGGGGUUCUGAGAGGAAGGUCCCCCACAUUGGAACUGAGACACGGUCCAAACUCCUACGGGAGGCAGCAGUGAGGAAUAUUGGUCAAUGGGCGGAAGCCUGAACCAGCCAAGUAGCGUGCAGGAUGACGGCCCUAUGGGUUGUAAACUGCUUUUAUACAGGAAUAAAGUUAGCCACGUGUGGUUAUUUGUAGGUACUGUAUGAAUAAGGACCGGCUAAUUCCGUGCCAGCCGCCGCAGUAA